rnacentral:rRNA from 1 species
AUUGAACGCUGGCGGCAUGCUUUACACAUGCAAGUCGAACGGUAACAGGCCGCAAGGUGCUGACGAGUGGCGAACGGGUGAGUAAUGCAUCGGAACGUGCCCAGUCGUGGGGGAUGACGCAGCGAAAGCUGCGCUAAUACCGCAUACGAACUAUGGAUGAAAGCGGGGGACCGUAAGGCCUCGCGCGAUUGGAGCGGCCGAUGUCAGAUUAGGUAGUUGGUGGGGUAAAGGCUCACCAAGCCAACGAUCUGUAGCUGGUCUGAGAGGACGACCAGCCACACUGGGACUGAGACACGGCCCAGACUCCUACGGGAGGCAGCAGUGGGGAAUUUUGGACAAUGGGCGCAAGCCUGAUCCAGCAAUGCCGCGUGCAGGAAGAAGGCCUUCGGGUUGUAAACUGCUUUUGUACGGAACGAAACGGUCCUGGUUAAUACCUGGGGCUAAUGACGGUACCGUAAGAAUAAGCACCGGCUAACUACGUGCCAGCCGCCGCGGUAAAAC